UUGGAGCAUAUUUGUUUCUCUCUACCUAUUUUCUCCAGAAUUUGAAAACUAUUUGUGAGUAUUCUUAACUUAUGCCAAUAUAGUUAUUUUCAUAAGUGCAAUAAUAAUCUGUUUUCUUUUGUAACAGGACACAAUUGGAGAAACUGCUUAAUUUAUCAAGGCUUUGACUGGAAUGGCAUGCUUUCCUUUUAGGAAUCAAACUUGACUUAUAGAGCCAAUAAAAGCCCUCGGGAAAACUGACCUCAUACAUUGUCUGCAUAGUCCCUGUACAGGUUUCCAACCUGUGGUUCCUUUAAUUAGCUCAGACCUGGAUGGCAUAAAAUGGAGUUUCUGAAGAAGUCCAGGUAAAUUCAGCUUUGGAGUCAUUUACGUUCAUUUUGUUUCUUUCUUUUACUAUUAUCCUAAAGGUUAUUUUUCUUGUUGA